rnacentral:rRNA from 1 species
GACGAACGCUGGCGGCGUGGAUUAGGCAUGCAAGUCGAACGGUAUCAUCCUUUCGGGGGUGAGAGAGUGGCGAACUGGUGAGUAACACGUAGGUUAUCUACCCUCAAGACGGGGACAACCCAGGGAAACUUGGGCUAAUACCGGAUGUGAGCAACUUUUAGUUGUUUGAAAGGUGGCGUAAGCUGUCGCUUGGGGAUGAGCCUGCGUCCUAUUAGUUAGUUGGUGAGGUAACGGCUCACCUAGGCAAUGAUAGGUAGGCGGCCUUAACGGGUGGUCGCCCACACUGGGAUUGAGAUACGGCCCAGACUCCUACGGGAGGCAGCAGUCGAGAAUAGUCUACAAUGGUCGGAAGACUGAUAGUGCGACGCCGCGUGAACGAUGAAUCCCUUCGGGGUUAAAGUUCUUUUAUAUGUGAGCAGUGCUUCUAUAUUAACAGUAUGGGGAAGAGAUAUUAGCAUAUGAAUAAGCAACGGCUAAACUCCGUGCCCAGCAGCCGACGGU